rnacentral:rRNA from 1 species
GAUGAACGCUGGCGGCGUGCCUAAUACAUGCAAGUCGAGCGAACAGACGAGGAGCUUGCUCCUCUGACGUUAGCGGCGGACGGGAGAGUAACACGUGGAUCACCUACCUAUAAGACUGGGAUAACUUCGGGAAACCGGAGCUAAUACCGGAUAAUAUAUUGAACCGCAUGGUUCAAUAGUGAAAGACGGUUUUGCUGUCACUUAUAGAUGGAUCCGCGCCGCGUUAACUAGUUGGUAAAGUAACGGCUUACAAAGGCUACGAUGCGUAGCUGACCUGAGAGGGUGAUCGUCCACACUGGAAAUGAGACACGGUCCAGACACCUGCGGGAGGCCGCAGUAGGGAAUCUUCAGCAAUGGGCGAAGGCCUGACAGAGCAACGACGCGUGAGUGAUGAAGGUCUUCGGAUCGUAUAACUCUGUUAUUAAGGAAGAACAACUGUGUAAGUAAGUAUGAACGACUUGACGGUACCUAAACAGAGAGCCUCGGCUAACUACGUG